rnacentral:rRNA from 1 species
GUGAGGAAUAUUGGACAAUGGAUGGAAAUCUGAUCCAGCCAUGCCGCGUGCAGGAAGACGGCCCUAUGGGUUGUAAACUGCUUUUAUACGGGAGCAAUAAGGUCUAUGCAUAGAUUGAUGAGAGUACCGUAUGAAUAAGCAUCGGCUAACUCCGUGCCAGCAGCCGCGGUAAUACGGAGGAUGCGAGCGUUAUCCGGAUUUAUUGGGUUUAAAGGGUGCGUAGGCGGCUUUGUAAGUCAGCGGUGAAAUUUUGCAGCUUAACUGUAAAAGCGCCGUUGAUACUGUGAAGCUAGUAUUUGGUUGCUGUGGACGGAAUGUGUGUUGUAGCGGUGAAAUGCAUAGAGAUCACACAGAAUAUCGAUUGCGAAGGCAGCUCACAAAGCCAAUAUUGACGCUGAGGCACGAAAGUGUGGGGAUCAAACAGGAUUAGAAACCCGAGUAGUCC